GCAGUCGAGCGGAUGAGGGAGCUUGCUCCUGGAUUCAGCGGCGGACGGGUGAGUAAUGCCUAGGAAUCUGCCUGGUAGUGGGGGAUAACGUCCGGAAACGGGCGCUAAUACCGCAUACGUCCUGAGGGAGAAAGUGGGGGAUCUUCGGACCUCACGCUAUCAGAUGAGCCUAGGUCGGAUUAGCUAGUUGGUGGGGUAAAGGCCUACCAAGGCGACGAUCCGUAACUGGUCUGAGAGGAUGAUCAGUCACACUGGAACUGAGACACGGUCCAGACUCCUACGGGAGGCAGCAGUGGGGAAUAUUGGACAAUGGGCGAAAGCCUGAUCCAGCCAUG
rnacentral:rRNA from 1 species